UACGUAGGGGGCGAGCGUUGUCCGGAUUCAUUGGGCGUAAAGAGCUCGUAGGCGGCUUGGCAAGUCGGGUGUGAAAACUCCAGCUCAACCUGGAGACGCCACCCGAUACUGCCAUGGCUUGAGUCCGGUAGGGGACCACGGAAUUCCUGGUGUAGCGGUGAAAUGCGCAGAUAUCAGGAGGAACACCGAUGGCGAAGGCAGGUCUCUGGGCAUUAACUGACGCUGAGGAGCGAAAGCAUGGGGAGCGAACAGG
rnacentral:rRNA from 1 species